GAAUUGUGGGUUGAGCAGGGAUCAUCAACUAGAUUCAGCUGCUGGCCAAUUUUUUUCUUGAGCAGAUGGUCGGGGGGCUGGAACAUAAUUACAAAUACAUUGUAACAUUUUCAUAGGCCUAUACCUUUGUCUCUGCCUGUUUUGACAAUGUAUUAUAAUGGUAUCUCUUAUGAUGUGUGACUUUCGGGUUCAGGCUAUGCACUUCUGUGUAAUUGUCAUUGUCUGUCUAACAGUGACUUUAUCUUAAUGGAAACACCUGCAAAACAGGCUCCUCGAGUUUACAUCUCACUUGAGCGUGACUUCUUGGAUAAGAUAAAGUGGCCACAUACCUGGCUGUGCCGGUUUCAGAACAAGUUUGUUCACUUAACUGACUUUUUAAAUAGUUGUUUCAAGUCAAUGUUACAGGAAUCACUAACAACUUGAGUAAUAGGUACAUGGGAUACAGGCUCCUGUGGCUACAGGCUCCUUGGUUUAGUGAGAAAAUGGACAACAAACAGAACAAAUAAUUGAUAUCUUUGUCUUGCCAGAGGUAUCAUGAAAAGUCUCAGAUGGACUUUAUGCGUGGACUCCUUGCUGCCAUGGGCUUUGAUUGUUCCCGACGUGCAAAAUCUACUGCUCAAAGCUCGCCAGCAGAGGCGACAGUGGUACAUGUUGCCAAGGAGAGCAGCCCUCAGACGUGUAGUCUUUCCCUGGACCUCGACCCACCGCACUGCCAGAGCUGCAUCUCCUACGAGGCUCGGCUGCAGCGCCUGGUCUGCGGACACUUCUACUGUGACCAGUGCAGGGGUCGCAUCAUUAACCAGGCUUUCAAGGACAUCGAGGGCCUCUCGGACUACCCCUGUCCUAUGUGCAACUCUAUCCGUCAGCUGGGUGGCACAGUGCCUGAGCCACGGCUCCGCAGUAAUAGCACCCCCACUGUGUCUGUGGGCUUCAAUGAUCCCUCCUCCCCCACAUCCUCACCGUAGCUCUGUUAAUGCAGGUCAUCAGGGAAGAGGAAGAAAAGGACUCUGUGACUUGAAGUAA
rnacentral:lncRNA from 8 species